rnacentral:rRNA from 1 species
GGUUAAGCGACUAAGCGUACACGGUGGAUGCCCUGGCAGUCAGAGGCGAUGAAGGACGUGCUAAUCUGCGAUAAGCGUCGGUGAGGUGAUAUGAACCGUUAUAACCGGCGAUUUCCGAAUGGGGAAACCCAGUGUGUUUCGACACACUAUCAUUAACUGAAUCCAUAGGUUAAUGAGGCGAACCGGGGGAACUGAAACAUCUAAGUACCCCGAGGAAAAGAAAUCAACCGAGAUUCCCCCAGUAGCGGCGAGCGAACGGGGAGGAGCCCAGAGCCUGAAUCAGUGUGUGUGUUAGUGGAAGCGUCUGGAAAGGCGUGCGAUACAGGGUGACAGCCCCGUACACAAAAAUGCACAUAUUGUGAGCUCGAUGAGUAGGGCGGGACACGUGGUAUCCUGUCUGAAUAUGGGGGGACCAUCCUCCAAGGCUAAAUACUCCUGACUGACCGAUAGUGAACCAGUACCGUGAGGGAAAGGCGAAAAGAACCCCGGCGAGGGGAGUGAAAAAGAACCUGAAACCGUGUACGUACAAGCAGUGGGAGCCUCUUAAUGGGGUGACUGCGUACCUUUUGUAUAAUGGGUCAGCGACUUAUAUUCUGUAGCAAGGUUAACCGAAUAGGGGAGCCGAAGGGAAACCGAGUCUUAACUGGGCGUUAAGUUGCAGGGUAUAGACCCGAAACCCGGUGAUCUAGCCAUGGGCAGGUUGAAGGUUGGGUAACACUAACUGGAGGACCGAACCGACUAAUGUUGAAAAAUUAGCGGAUGACUUGUGGCUGGGGGUGAAAGGCCAAUCAAACCGGGAGAUAGCUGGUUCUCCCCGAAAGCUAUUUAGGUAGCGCCUCGUGAAUUCAUCUCCGGGGGUAGAGCACUGUUUCGGCAAGGGGGUCAUCCCGACUUACCAACCCGAUGCAAACUGCGAAUACCGGAGAAUGUUAUCACGGGAGACACACGGCGGGUGCUAACGUCCGUCGUGAAGAGGGAAACAACCCAGACCGCCAGCUAAGGUCCCAAAGUCAUGGUUAAGUGGGAAACGAUGUGGGAAGGCCCAGACAGCCAGGAUGUUGGCUUAGAAGCAGCCAUCAUUUAAAGAAAGCGUAAUAGCUCACUGGUCGAGUCGGCCUGCGCGGAAGAUGUAACGGGGCUAAACCAUGCACCGAAGCUGCGGCAGCGACACUAUGUGUUGUUGGGUAGGGGAGCGUUCUGUAAGCCUGUGAAGGUGGCCUGUGAGGGUUGCUGGAGGUAUCAGAAGUGCGAAUGCUGACAUAAGUAACGAUAAAGCGGGUGAAAAGCCCGCUCGCCGGAAGACCAAGGGUUCCUGUCCAACGUUAAUCGGGGCAGGGUGAGUCGACCCCUAAGGCGAGGCCGAAAGGCGUAGUCGAUGGGAAACAGGUUAAUAUUCCUGUACUUGGUGUUACUGCGAAGGGGGGACGGAGAAGGCUAUGUUGGCCGGGCGACGGUUGUCCCGGUUUAAGCGUGUAGGCUGAUUUUCCAGGCAAAUCCGGAAAAUCAAGGCUGAGGCGUGAUGACGAGGCACUACGGUGCUGAAGCGACAAAUGCCCUGCUUCCAGGAAAAGCCUCUAAGCAUCAGGUAACAUCAAAUCGUACCCCAAACCGACACAGGUGGUCAGGUAGAGAAUACCAAGGCGCUUGAGAGAACUCGGGUGAAGGAACUAGGCAAAAUGGUGCCGUAACUUCGGGAGAAGGCACGCUGAUAUGUAGGUGAAGCGACUUGCUCGUGGAGCUGAAAUCAGUCGAAGAUACCAGCUGGCUGCAACUGUUUAUUAAAAACACAGCACUGUGCAAACACGAAAGUGGACGUAUACGGUGUGACGCCUGCCCGGUGCCGGAAGGUUAAUUGAUGGGGUUAGCGGCAACGCGAAGCUCUUGAUCGAAGCCCCGGUAAACGGCGGCCGUAACUAUAACGGUCCUAAGGUAGCGAAAUUCCUUGUCGGGUAAGUUCCGACCUGCACGAAUGGCGUAAUGAUGGCCAGGCUGUCUCCACCCGAGACUCAGUGAAAUUGAACUCGCUGUGAAGAUGCAGUGUACCCGCGGCAAGACGGAAAGACCCCGUGAACCUUUACUAUAGCUUGACACUGAACAUUGAGCCUUGAUGUGUAGGAUAGGUGGGAGGCUUUGAAGUGUGGACGCCAGUCUGCAUGGAGCCGACCUUGAAAUACCACCCUUUAAUGUUUGAUGUUCUAACGUUGGCCCGUAAUCCGGGUUGCGGACAGUGUCUGGUGGGUAGUUUGACUGGGGCGGUCUCCUCCUAAAGAGUAACGGAGGAGCACGAAGGUUGGCUAAUCCUGGUCGGACAUCAGGAGGUUAGUGCAAUGGCAUAAGCCAGCUUGACUGCGAGCGUGACGGCGCGAGCAGGUGCGAAAGCAGGUCAUAGUGAUCCGGUGGUUCUGAAUGGAAGGGCCAUCGCUCAACGGAUAAAAGGUACUCCGGGGAUAACAGGCUGAUACCGCCCAAGAGUUCAUAUCGACGGCGGUGUUUGGCACCUCGAUGUCGGCUCAUCACAUCCUGGGGCUGAAGUAGGUCCCAAGGGUAUGGCUGUUCGCCAUUUAAAGUGGUACGCGAGCUGGGUUUAGAACGUCGUGAGACAGUUCGGUCCCUAUCUGCCGUGGGCGCUGGAGAACUGAGGGGGGCUGCUCCUAGUACGAGAGGACCGGAGUGGACGCAUCACUGGUGUUCGGGUUGUCAUGCCAAUGGCACUGCCCGGUAGCUAAAUGCGGAAGAGAUAAGUGCUGAAAGCAUCUAAGCACGAAACUUGCCCCGAGAUGAGUUCUCCCUGACUCCUUGAGAGUCCUGAAGGAACGUUGAAGACGACGACGUUGAUAGGCCGGGUGUGUAAGCGCAGCGAUGCGUUGAGCUAACCGGUACUAAUGAACCGUGAGGCUUAACCUU